rnacentral:rRNA from 1 species
CAAUAGCGUAUAUUAAAGUUGUUGCAGUUAAAAAGCUCGUAGUUGGAUUUCUGGUAGGAGUGACCGUGCCAGACUUGAUUGUCUGUGUAUUGUGUUGUCUCCAGCCAUCCUUGUGGAGACCUUUUCUUGCAUUAAUUUGUAGGGAUUGGGACCCGCAUCGUUUACUGUGAAAAAAUUAGAGUGUUUAAAGCAGGCAAUCGCUUGAAUACAUUAGCAUGGAAUAAUAAGAUAGGACUUUGGUACUAUUUUGUUGGUUUGCAUACCAAAUUAAUGAUCAACAGGAACAGUUUGAGGAUAUUCGUAUGAACAUGUCAGAGGUGAAAUUCUUGGAUUUUGAUCAGACGAACUACUGCGAAAGCAUUUAUCAAGGAUGUUUUCAUUAA